GCAACUGUAGUGUAGUGGUUAGCAUUUCGCCUUCCCAUUGCAACAGACGUAAUGAACCAGGCGGAGACCCGAGUUCGAAUCUCGGCAGUUGCA
rnacentral:tRNA from 1 species